ACGGAAGUCGUUGUAAUGAAAUGGAAAUGGACAGAGAACUUGUUCGAAGAAAGUUGAAGUAGACUUACAACAAUGGCUUUAGUGGCGGACUGGUGAGUAACGCGUAAGGAACCUGCCUUUUAGAGGGGAAUAACAAUGAGAAAUCAUUGCUAAUACCGCAUAUGCCGAGAGAAUCACAUGGUACAAUCGGGAAAGGAGCAAUCCGCUAAAAGAUGGCCUUGCGUCUGAUUAGAUAGUUGGUGGGGUAACGGCCUACCAAGUCGACGAUCAGUAGCCGGACUGAGAGGUUGAACGGCCACAUUGGGACUGAGAUACGGCCCAGACUCCUACGGGAGGCAGCAGUCGGGAAUAUUGCGCAAUGGAGGAAACUCUGACGCAGUGACGCCGCGUAUAGGAAGAAGGUUUUCGGAUUGUAAACUAUUGUCGUUAGGGAAGAGAAAGGACAGUACCUAAGGAGGAAGCUCCGGCUAACUACGUGCCAGCAGCCGCGGUAAUACGUAGGGAGCGAGCGUUAUCCGGAAUUAUUGGGUGUAAAGGGUGCGUAGACGGGAAGAUAAGUUAGUUGUGAAAUCCCUCGGCUUAACUGAGGAACUGCAACUAAAACUGUUUUUCUUGAGUGCAGGAGAGGUAAGUGGAAUUCCUAGUGUAGCGGUGAAAUGCGUAGAUAUUAGGAGGAACACCAGU
rnacentral:rRNA from 1 species